rnacentral:rRNA from 1 species
CAAUAGCGUAUAUUAAAGUUGUUGCGGUUAAAAUGUUCGUAGUUGGAUUUCUGCCGAGGACGACCGGUCCGCCCUCUGGGUGAGUAUCUGGCUCGGCCUGGGCAUCUUCUUGGAAACGUAUCUGCACUUGACUGUGUGGUGCGGUAUUCAGGACUCUUACUUUGAGGAAAUUAAAUUGUUUCAAGCAGGCAUACGCCUUGAAUACAUUAGCAUGGAAUAAUAAGAUAGGACCUCGGUUCUAUUUUGUUGGUUUAUAGAUCUGACGUAAUGGUUAAUAGGGAUAGUUGGGCAUGCGUAUUAAUACUGUCAGCGGACUAUUGCGAAAGCAUUUGCCAAGGAUGUUUUCAUUGAUCAAGAACGAAAGUU